UACGGGGGGGGCAAGCGUUGUUCGGAAUUACUGGGCGUAAAGGGCUCGUAGGCGGCCAACUAAGUCAGACGUGAAAUCCCUCGGCUUAACCGGGGAACUGCAUCUGAUACUGGAUGGCUUGAGUUCGGGAGAGGGAUGUGGAAUUCCAGGUGUAGCGGUGAAAUGCGUAGAUAUCUGGAGGAACACCGGUGGCGAAGGCGCACACCUGGCCCGAUACUGACGCUGAGGCGCGAAAGCUAGGGGAGCAAACGGG
rnacentral:rRNA from 1 species